rnacentral:lncRNA from 1 species
UAGGAGAGAUUCCAGUUUCUGCUUAAUAGAAUUAAGUUACAGCAACAUUAAGAUUCCCCUUGGCACAAAGGCAUCAAAAUGCGUUUCCAUAUGACUGCUGGAACAUACAUGUAUGCACCCUUGGAUUUAAGUCAAGUUUAAUUAUAGCAAAGUACCACAUCCAGUCUCCUGGCCUGCAGCAGUUCAUGAACCAUCACAAGCUCUCCAAUGCAGGAAGAUGCGGCAGUGAAGCUCCUGGACCUUUUCCAGCAGAACUCCACCCAAGGCAGCAUGGUUCUGGACACAGAGUGACCUUGAUCACUGCUCCCAUCUACUGGACAAUCAUGGCGUGAAGUGGGAAAAACAACCGAGUCUGACAAGAAGCUAACUAGUUGUCUUGGAGUAAGAGCCUUGGAUUACAAAUGGAGCAAAUGCAAGCGCUGACACUGAUGUACAUUAAGCUCCUGCCAAGAGACGUGAGCAGCCGCCGCAGUAACGCUAACAGGAUAUACUCAGGACUACACCUCACCUGCCCGCCAGCUUUUCACCAGCCGCAUGCUGUAAGCCACGCCCUUCCCCUCUGUCCUCUAGCCCUCUGCUUCAGCCAGCUACCUCCCCAUCCCGCUACCCUUGCAAUAAAUCCAUUUAAUUUACCUUACUGCUGAGUCUGUGUCUGAGUCCAACUUUGCAUAUCAUAACAUCACCAGCCCUUAAUUUUUUUUUUUUCUUAUUCACUUUGGUUCUUCACUUUGUCUUAACAUUCUCUAAACUAAAGUUGUUACAACUGUUUACUACAUCUCUAUUGCAUGUCUGCAAAGGGUAGUAACUCACCAUGGCAGUCAACCCUGGAACCUUUUUGUUGACAAGAAUGUCAGUUUUGUCAGUUUUGUCUAGUUCAGGGCUGCCCAAAGUGGGGCCCACAGGCCAAAGUUGACCUGGUAUAAGGUUCAGUUUGGCCCGCCAGGUGUUUCUUGUGAAAGAAAAUUUUACAUAAUUAAUAAUUAGGGACCGAGCCAGCGACCACUUAAACAUAAUUUAAAUUAAAGCUGCAAGCAGCGUUGGGCGGGACCUCGCACUCCACGCAACUCGGGGAGUUCUGCGGCCGCGUCACGUGAUGUCAUAACUCGUGCGGACCAAAACAUGAAAAUCUCACGUAAAUCAGCUCAAAAUCGCCACGCUGCGCUUACUUCCCGUUGCCAGUAGGUGGCGCUAGACAUGUUCAAGGCGAGAGUGUUAUCAAACACGUGAAGUUUCAUUGAGAUUGGACCACGUACGCUGAAGUUAUGAGGACGUGUUCAGGGCAAAACUGUUUCAGAAUAUAUUAAAUUUAUUGGAGAUUGGACCUUGCACACUGAAGUUAUGAGUACUAUUUUAUGGCAAAUCUGCUGAAAUCGACAAGUUGUCACUGGCACGCGGUUUGAUAUACAGUCACAAAUAGCUCAACUUUUCAAUCAGUUUGUAUGACCACAGAAUUCAAAAUGGCCAACUUUGACGGUACGACACAGACACGCCCUUCAACGUACAGUCUCAAAUGGCACAAGUUUUGAUAACCAAUGUGUCUAGAUUGCAGUGAUCGAAUUUGAAGUCAAUCUGAUAAAAUCUGUAGGAGGAGUUCGUUAAAACAGAAGCCCUUAAAUGCCGGAAAUGGCAUCACAGUUUGACAUUCGAUUCAACCUGGCCAACUUUGAGGGCAUGCCACGGACAUGCCCUUUAAUGUACAUGCACAAAUAGCACAACUUUUAAUUUAAGUUUGUUCAAAUACAACGCAAAAAGUUCGCUGAAAUUGAAACUUUAAAUCAAAAUGGCCGACUCCCUGUGGGAUUUGGGGUAUGGGUCCAAAGGCUUUUUUGUACGUCCCGGCAUGUUACACGUGCCUACCGAGUUUCGUAUAUAUCCAUGAAACGUGGCACCGGGGGUUGCUAUUUUUUUUAUCCUGUGGGGGGCGCUACAAACACGACAAACACGAUUUUUUUUGACGAAAAAUCAAAAGGAAGUGUGAAUUUUAUAGCAGGCUUAUUUUUUGAAAUAUCAAAAAAUGUUCAAAUUACUUUUUUUUGCCAGGGUGUUCCCCAGGUGCUAGGUGAACAUUUCGUGCAAAUCGGACAAAGCGUGUAGGAGGACCACAAAAUAGUACUGUAUGGACAUUUUGCGCUCUAACAAAAAAAAUUAUAGGCGGAAGUGGGCGGGGCCUAUAUGGAGAGAUUCAGCUCCAUUCACCGAACGCGUGGAUAUAAGUGUUUU